rnacentral:rRNA from 1 species
UACGAAGGGGGCUAGCGUUGCUCGGAUUGACUGGGCGUAAAGGGCGCGUAGGCGGUUUGUACAGUCAGACGUGAAAUUCCUGGGCUCAACCUGGGGGGCUGCGUUUGAUACGUGCGAGCUUGAGUUCGGAAGAGGGUCGUGGAAUUCCCAGUGUAGAGGUGAAAUUCGUAGAUAUUGGGAAGAACACCGGUGGCGAAGGCGGCGACCUGGUCCGAUACUGACGCUGAGGCGCGAAAGCGUGGGGAGCAAACAGG